UACGUAGGGGGCAAGCGUUGUCCGGAAUCAUUGGGCGUAAAGAGCGCGUAGGCGGCCCUGUAAGUCCGCUGUGAAAGUCAAGGGCUCAACCCUUGAAUGCCGGUGGAUACUGCAGGGCUAGAGUCCGGAAGAGGCGAGUGGAAUUCCUGGUGUAGCGGUGAAAUGCGCAGAUAUCAGGUGGAACACCGAUGGCGAAAGCGGCGCACUGGACCACAACUGACGCUGAGGCGCGAAAGCUAGGGGAGCAAACAGG
rnacentral:rRNA from 1 species